rnacentral:rRNA from 1 species
AUUGAACGCUGGCGGCUUGCCUUACACAUGCAAGUCGAACGGCAGCGCGGACUUCGGUCUGGCGGCGAGUGGCGAACGGGUGAGUAAUACAUCGGAACGUACCCUGUUGUGGGGGAUAACUAGUCGAAAGAUUAGCUAAUACCGCAUACGACCUGAGGGUGAAAGUGGGGGACCGCAAGGCCUCACGCAGCAGGAGCGGCCGAUGUCUGAUUAGCUAGUUGGUGGGGUAAAGGCCCACCAAGGCGGCGAUCAGUAGCUGGUCUGAGAGGACGAUCAGCCACACUGGGACUGAGACACGGCCCAGACUCCUACGGGAGGCAGCAGUGGGGAAUUUUGGACAAUGGGGGCAACCCUGAUCCAGCAAUGCCGCGUGUGUGAAGAAGGCCUUCGGGUUGUAAAGCACUUUUGUCCGGAAAGAAAUCGCGCUGGUUAAUACCUGGCGUGGAUGACGGUACCGGAAGAAUAAGCACCGGCUAACUACGUGCCAGCCGCCGCAGUAA